GUUUAAGAUAUUGUUCAUUAAAAUCUAAGAAGAUUCAGCUGAUAAAAAAUGGUCACAAGUGGACAACAAGGGACAAAGGUGCAUUGGAUGUGUAACCGAAUCCUGUAGGUUUGUACUACCUCAACUAACGUACAUGACUGCGUACAUGGGCAGGGCCUUUCAAAUCAGAAUCAAUAUCGGACUAACGAGAAAGACAAACUUUCGGCUCUUGUGUUGUGUGCCUACCUUUUGUCAAGUCAUUCCAAGACUCUGGCCCGAGUCGAGCCUGUGCUGGAGCACUUAGCAAUAUUGAAUUGCAAAGGGAAUCGAAUCGAAGUGGUUAGAGCGCCAAAUGCCUUUCCAAAUCCUGUGGCUUCGCAGGGGGCUGGUGGGGGGGAGUGUGUGACGAUUUCGAGCUGAGUCCUGCUGCUUAAAUGUAAUUAAAUUCGUUCUACUACCCAACCCCUGCUGUUUCUUAUCAAAUGGAUUGAUUUAUGAUGAUGUCUCCACUCUCUCUCUCCGGCUGACGAGGCAUGACAUAAUAAAUCGUUGGGUGCCGGGCAGGUGCUUCCACGAUGACAACACUCACACGGGCUGAUGGGAGCUGGAAUUGUGCCCAGAUUUGAGAACUUGAAAAUUAAUUUGCGAACAACUUUUGCCUGCUCAAAUCUGGCCCCUGCCUGACUCCUGAAUGCUGACUGCUCUAUGUGCC
rnacentral:lncRNA from 1 species